AGUGAACGCUGGCGGUAGGCCUAACACAUGCAAGUCGAACGGCAGCACAGGAGAGCUUGCUCUCUGGGUGGCGAGUGGCGGACGGGUGUGGAAUACAUCGGAAUCUACUCUGUCGUGGGGGAUAACGUAGGGAAACUUACGCUAAUACCGCAUACGACCUACGGGUGAAAGCAGGGGACCUUCGGGCCUUGCGCGAUUGAAUGAGCCGAUGUCGGAUUAGCUAGUUGGCGGGGUAAAGGCCCACCAAGGCGACGAUCCGUAGCUGGUCUGAGAGGAUGAUCAGCAACACUGGAACUGAGACACGGUCCAGACUCCUACGGGAGGCAGCAGUGGGGAAUAUUGGACAAUGGGCGCAAGCCUGAUCCAGCCAUACCGCGUGGGUGAAGAAGGCCUUCGGGUUGUAAAGCCCUUUUGUUGGGAAAGGAAUCCAGCUGGCUAAUACCCGGUUGGGAUGACGGUACCCAAAGAAUAAGCACCGGCUAACUUCGUGCCAGCCGCCGCCGUAA
rnacentral:rRNA from 1 species